UACGUAGGGGGCAAGCGUUGUCCGGAUUUAUUGGGCGUAAAGAGCGUGUAGGCGGCCACACAGGUCUGCUGUGAAAACUCGAGGCUCAACCUCGAGCUGUCGGUGGAAACCGUGUGGCUAGAGUCCGGAAGAGGAGAGUGGAAUUCCCGGUGUAGCCGGUGAAAUGCGCAGAUAUCGGGAAGAACACCCGUGGCGAAGGCGGCUCUCUGGGACGGUACUGACGCUGAGACGCGAAGCGUGGGAGCGAACAGG
rnacentral:rRNA from 1 species